UAUCAGGAUCUAACCAAAUC
rnacentral:miRNA from 1 species